GGGAGGCAGUACAGGGGGAGCUGAACUGGCUGAGGGUCGAGGCGAAAACUCGGUCUGGCUUAGGAGGACCUUGGAGGUAGAAUUAUGAAUGGCUCAUGAACGGAGCCAUGGAGAGUGGAUCCUGACUAAACUUAGCUAUUGAUCAAUGUAGAGAAACUGAUCAGGGUGGCUAGGAGUUUCAGUAACAACCUGCCACACAGCUUGAACAGUUGUGAGGUUCAAUGACCCUUCAGGGGGCCACUUGACUUUAAACUUUGGCCAUUUUAUUUUGCAGAGUGUCUGGAGCUUACCUUUUUUAAGGCGGACUUUAUAAUCCUCUGAACUGAGAGAAAAAUUCUGCAGCAUACAUUGGAGAGGGCUUUAACUUUACAAGGCUGGGAGGAAGUGUUUCUUAUUUUUUUUUUUAAGGCAAUUUAAUAAGAUUUGAGCAUAGAUAUUAAACUUAGCAUGGACAGAGAAACUUAUUUCUUGGGGGACUGGCAUAGUGAAAGAACAGAAUCAAUAUGACUAGAAAGAGCAGAAAAACUUAAAACAGCUAAUACUACUUGCUACAUUGCUGUAGCUUUAAGAUUGAGGGAGGAGGACUAGAGCCAGCCUGAGAUCUUCUGGGUCAGUUUGAUCUAGGCGUUCUUCUUCUUCUUCUAGAUCUGCGCUUUAAAUACUUUUGGUGUCUUUAUGACUUAAAGGCAAAUAGCUUAAACUUAGCUUUUUCUUUUAAGGGUUUAAGGAGUGAGAACAGAGCCAAGUCCUGGAGACGGUGAACUUGCUGUCGCACCAGAAAACGAGAUGUGCAGGAUAGGGGGCAGGGACAAGGCGGAAAAGGACUACUCGGAUCAUUUUUAAGAUGGGAGAGUAGCCACAGAGGAGCAGAGUAAGAAUCUAAACGAGACAGACAAGGGGAGGGGCUCCUGUGAUGGGAUCAGUCAGAUGCCUGCCUGGCCGCUCCCCCUGAGGGGACUUGGGCUCCUCUUAACAUUGGCAGGCUGGUAUAAACUUCCGGCUCAGAUCAAGCUAUGCCUGAUGCUGCCUUAAGCCUUAUGAGGUCGCCACGGAACCGCAGAAACUCCUGGAGGGCAGAGCUGUGUCUGCCAUCUUCAUCAUUGCAUUACCACCACCAAGCACAGUGCCUGGCACAAAAGAGUUGCUCAAUAAAUAAAUCAGGAUGAAUGGAUAAAUACAUGGAUAGGCACUUUGAGCUACAGAUGAGUUUAAAUACUUUGUGUUUUUCUUAGUCAAACAUGUGCAAUUAAGCAUGUGAUAAAUGAUAUGAUGACCACA
rnacentral:lncRNA from 1 species